GGUCUUAUAGUGUAGCGGUUAUCACUCGGGAUUCUGACUAAGCAACGGACCUUCCCGCGACCCCGGUUCGAACCCGGGUAAGACCU